rnacentral:rRNA from 1 species
GUCCACACGGUAAACGAUGAAUACUCGCUGUUGGCGAUAUACUGUCAGCGGCCAAGCGAAAGCAUUAAGUAUUCCACCUGGGGAGUACGCCGGCAACGGUGAAACUCAAAGGAAUUGACGGGGGCCCCGCACAAGCGGAGGAACAUGUGGUUUAAUUCGAUGAUACGCGAGGAACCUUACCCGGGCUUAAAUUAUGCAUGAAUUAUCUGGAAACAGGUAAGCCGCAAGGCAUGUAUGAAGGUGCUGCAUGGUUGUCGU